rnacentral:lncRNA from 1 species
UAAAAUAAGCUAUCUCGCCAAAAAUCGAUUGUUUUACAUACUUUUGGACGCAUUUAAAACCAAAGGAGCAAUAUCCAUUGUGGCAUGAGCCUUGCGAUGCAUCUGCUCUUACGGGUCUCAGGGCUCAUGUUAGAAUGGAUAUAGUUGCUUUGCAUUUAAAUACGUCCAUUAAAAAGGAGGUAAAACAGUGUUGCCAACAUUCCAGAAUUCUGGGCAUAUUUUCAGGAGAGAAGUCCAUGGUGCGGAGGCAACGGAGCGUUCACUUUGCGUCCGACUGCGACGUGGAUGAGAAUUUGAAGGAAAUAUCGGUCAAAUUGGACACGAUGGAAAACAACCAGGUGACAUUGUCAUCCUCGUGGUUGCAGCAGCUCAAGGUUUCAAGGCAUACACCGAGGCCGUCCAAAUGCGACUCUGCAAUCUCGAGCAACGAACCCGACUGCUGGAGGAAAAGGCGCAAGAUGCAAACCGCCAGACCAUCCGCCGCGCCAUCCAGGGCAGAGCGGGUGGGUCCAGGACGCCCUCUGUCGGGGACCUCGCAUCUAUCCAGGACCCCACCCACGUCUCCAGUCAUUCCCUCGGUUCCUCCGUCCAGGGUCAGAUAGAAAACUCUGUCCAAGGUCAGACCGAAAACUCCGAACAAGGUCAAAUUGAGGGCUCCACCCAAGGUCAGAUCGAGGACUCCAUCCAAGGUCAGAUCGAGGACUCCAUCCAAGGUCAGAUUGUGGACUCCAUCCAAGGUCAGAUUGUGGACUCCAUCCAAGGUCACAUUGUGGACUCCGUCCACGACUGCAUUGAGGGCAAAGAAGGGAGCAUCGCUCUUAGCCUGGAGGUCCUCAUCGAGGAGUUCAAAUGUCUAGAAGAGGUGCGGCAGAACUUGCUCCGGCAAGCCCGAGACAGAGGAGAAUUUCAAUCUGAUCGGCGAUGCAAGAGUAUUUGGACACGCUGUCCCAGUUCGAUGUCAGAUUGGUGGAAAUGCGCAAACUCUUCAAGGAUGUCACGUGGCUCGUCAGGGCUGAUAUUGGCCAGGUCGCGCAGGAGAGAGAAAAGGUACUAA